CCCAGGACUACCCAGCAGACCUGCAGGCUACCGGAGCGAACCCCCAGGACUACCCAGCAGACCCGCAGGCUACCGGAGCGAACCCCCAGGAUCCCACAACACGCAGGGGCGGAGGAAACUCUGCCUCCAAAGAGCGAUCGGGACCCAGAGAUCUGCGGUGACCCCCGGGAGAGACCAUGAGGCGGAGCGAGCCGGGACAAGUACGGCCACGUAGGUCCAGCGAGUGACCGGAGACUGGUGAGGAGGGUGGGCGUACCCAAUACUCCUACGUGGAAUUACAGCAUGGGCAGGGUCCCCUGCCUUGUGUGAGGACGCCAUGGAAGUGAGCGGAGCCAGGACACUGACCACGCCUGUCGUGGCUGUACCCUCACCAUAUUAAUGUUUACCAAGUGGGACGGCGUGGCGCAGUGGAAAAAUGGCCGUGCGCGACCGGAGGGUCCCUGGUUCAAUCCCCACCUAGUACCAACCUCGUCAUGUCCGUUGUGUCCUGAGCAAGACACCUUCACCCUUGCUCCUGAUGGGUGCUGGUUAGCGCCUUGCAUGGCAGCUCCCUCCAUCAGUGUGUGAAUGUGUGUGUGAAUGGGUAAAUGUGGAAGU